GGGUAAUACUCCAAGAGCAUAUGGUGGAUGCCUUGACUUGAAGAGGCGAUGAAGGACGUGGCGUGGCUGCGAAAAGCCUCGGGGAGCUGUCUAGCAAGCUUUGAUCCGGGGAUGUCCGAAUGGGGAAACCCAAGCGCCGUAGGGUGCUUGAUUCGCCGAUGAGGCGAAUCGUCAACCCGCUGAAGUGAAACAUCUCAGUAAGCGGAGGAAAAGAAAAAAAUCUGGUUUUCUAGUUUUCUGGUUAUCUGGUUUCUGAUUUUUUCAGAACACUAGCUGGCUAGUAACUAGGCAACCAACCAUUCCCUUAGUAGCGGCGAGCGAAAAGGGAAGAGCCCAAACUUCAAUUUUUUGUUUUUAACAUAAAAUUGGAGGGUUGUAAGAUGACAAUGUUUUCUACUUCGGUAGAAGAGGAGUUCAUAAAUUAAAACUUCGUUAGUGAAAUCUGCUGGAAAACAGAGCCAAAGAAGGUAAUAGCCCUGUACGCGAAAACGGUUUUAAGCUCCUAGUUGUUUGCGCCUCAACGGCGCAUUUGUCGCAAGACAAAUUCUUGAGUAUCUCGACAAAUGAAUGGGUCGAGAGAAUCCGGGAGAACUAACUCCCAAGGCUAAAUACUCUUCAAGAUCGAUAGUGAACAAGUACCGUGAGGGAAAGGUGAAAAGCAGCCCGGUGAGGGCGGUGAAAUAGUCCUGAAACCAUAUGCUUACAAAGAAUCGAAGUCCCGCUACAAUAUUUAUUUAUUGAGGCGGGAUGACGGUGUGCCUAUUGAAGAAUGAGCCAACGAGUCCCGCUUAGUUUUUUGUCUAACCCCGUUUUGGGGGAAGGCGUAGGGAAACCGAGUGUGAAUAGCGCGUAAGCGAGAUUUUUCUCGCGUAAAUCUGAGCGGGGACCCGAAGCCAGGUGAGCUUGCCAUGAUCAGGGUGAACUUCGCAGAAAUGCGGGGAGAGGCCCGAACCGGUUGGUGGUACAAGACCAUCGGAUGAAUUGUGGUAAGGAGUGAAAAGCUAAUCGAACCUGGUAAUAGCUGGUUCUCUCCGAAAUAGUUUUCGGACUAGCGUCUCGUCGAAAUUUCCGGGGUAGAGCUACUGGAUGAGUUGAAUAGGGGGAAACCUCGUCACCUCAACCAAACUCCGAAUACGGAAAUUAUAAUGACGGGGCAGUCAGACCAUGGGGGCGAAGCUCCAUCGGUCGAAAGGGGAAGAGCCCGGAUCUCUAUCUAAGGUCCCUAAAUCUUUCUGUCUUUAUGAUGGAAUCCUGUUUUUGUUGGUUUUCCAAUAGAUACGGGACUGCUAAGUGCGCUUAAGGAAGUGAAAUUUCUUAUACAGCGAGGAGGUUGGCUUAGAAGCAGCCAUCCUUUAAAGAGUGCGUAACAGCUCACUCGUUAAGAGAUUUUGCACCGCAAAUAAUCGGGGCUAAGCAGAGUACCGAAGGUGAGAACUCCCCGCCAACAUUCUUUCGCAAGAAAGUUUGGGCGGGGAUUGGUAGGAGAGCGUCCGUCUUUCAGUGAAGCCAAAGCCGUGAGGCAUGGUGGAGAAUGGCGGAGUGAGAAUGUUGGCACAAGUAACCACAAGCCCGACGAGAAUUCGGGCGGCCGGAAGUCUAAGGUUUCCUUGGCAAUGAUAAUCAUCCAAGGGUUAGUCGGUCCUAAGGCGAUGGCGAAAGCCGAAGCUGAUGGAUAUGCGGUUAAUAUUCCGCAACUCUGAUAAAUUUCGAUGGAGCGACGGAGUCUAGUAUGUUGAGCGUGUUAUUGGAUUCACGUUGAUAGCGUGAGGGUUCUCGGCGAGAAAAUCUACCGAGAUUCUUUGCUGUAAAAGGCGGAGAAAACGUCCAAGCGUCGUCAAAAUCUGGCGAUUUUCAAAAGAAAUUCAACAAAGCAGAUUUCCAAGAAAAACUUCUAAGAUUAAAUUUAUUAGAACCGUACCGUAAACCGACACAGGUAGACGGGUCGAGAAGACCAAGGCUAACGGGUGAGUGCUCCCCAAGGAACUCGGCAAAUCAGCGGCCGUAACUUAGGGAUAAGGCCUCCCCGCCAACGACAUAGAAAUAUUUUGUAGGCGGGGUGCAACAAAAGAAUCCCCAGCGACUGUUUACCAAAAACACAGCUCCCUGCGAACUCGUAAGAGGAUGUAUAGGGGGUGACACCUGACCAAUGCGAGAAGGUUAAACGGUGGUGGUGUUAUUUUGAUUUAUCAAGGUAAUGCUGGCUACUGUAAGCCCUCGUCAAUGUCGGCGAUAACUAUAAUUGUCCUAAGGUUUUGGGACUUUACGAAAGGUUCCAAAAGAAUUGGGACGAUUGUAGAGAAGAAACAAGGAAUAAAAAACGUUGCCUUAAAUUUGGCUAUAUGCUGGAAAACCUGUUGUAUCUAGAGCUACUUAGCGAUAUAAUUAAAAUGAUGUCGACAAGUAACAAUGCUACUAGUGCAGAAAAUCAGCAGGAAAGACUAAUUAAAUUAGGUUGGAUAAUUGGGUUUGUUGACGGAGAAGGAUGUUUUUCGAUUGGUUUUUUCAAUCAAUCAGACAAACAAGAAGAGAAACGCGUUAGAAGAGGAUAUAAAUUAGGAAUACAAGCAUCGCAUGAAUUUGCGGUGACACAAGGAUCAAAGAACUUGCUUGCUCUAAAGAAAAUGAAAAAUUUUUUUAGAGUAGGAGAAUUGUAUAUAAACAAAAGAUAUGAUAACCACAGAGAACAUUUGUAUAGAUAUGUUGUCAGAAGAAGAAGCGACUUAUUGGAUGUUAUCAUACCUUUUUUCGAAAAAUGUCAUCUUCAAACAACCAAAAGUAAAGAUUUCAAAAUUUUUGCUAAAUGCGUGAGAAUGAUGUCCCAAAAUUAUCAUCUUCAAAAAAAUGGUUUAAUAAAAAUUCUGAAAUUGUCUGAACAAAUGAACCAUCAAAAAUCAAGAAACCGUUUAAUUAGAAUCCUCAGAAACCAAACGCCAAAACCUGUUUUAAAAAGCAGGUAAGAUAGAGUUCGGACUGCGUGGCGACACGUAGAUAUUCCUAGCGAAAUUCCUUGUCUGGUAAUUUCAGACGCGCACGAAAGGUGUAACGACUGGGGGACUGUCUCAGGGAGUAGCCCGGUGAAAAUACAUUACCGGUGAAGAUGCCGGUUACCUGCAGCUAGACGAAAAGACCCCGGGAACUUUACUGCAACUUGAUAUUGGGUUUAAGUUCUUAAUGCGUAGAAUAGGUGGGAGGCUUUGAAGUGCCGUUUUAGGAUGGCAUGGAGCCAACAGUGAAAUACCACUCUUUGAGAAUUUAAAUUCUAAUCUUUGAGGCAAAAACUCAAGGAAACAGUAUCUGGCGGGCAGUUUUUCUGGGGCAGAAUCCUCCUAAAAAGUAAUGGAGGAGUCUAUUAAGGUCAGCUAGGCGCGGAUGGAAAUCGUGCCGAUAGUGCAAUGGCAUAAGCUGGCUUAACUGCAAGACGGACAUGUCAAGCAGACGCGAAAGCGGAGCAUAGUGAACUGCUUGUGGGUGUUAGACGCCGCAAGCAAUUAACGGAUAAAAGUUACCCCGGGGAUAACAGGCUAGUCUGGCCCGAGCGUCCAUAGCGACGGCCAGGUUCGGCACCUCGAUGUCGGCUCGUCCUAUCCUGGGGCUGUAGAAGGUCCCAAGGGUUUGGCUGUUCUCCAAUUAAAAGGGCACGUGAGCUGGGUUCAGACCGUCGUAAGACAGGUCGGCCUCCUAUCUGCUGCAGGCGUUAAUUCUUGAGGAGAUCUGCUCCUUGUACGAGAGGAUCGGAGUGGACUGACCUCUGGUGUACCAGCUGUCACGCCAGUGGCAACGCUGGGUAGCUAUGUCGGGAAGGGAUAACCGCUGAAAGCAUCUAAGCGGGAAGCCCCCUCCAAGAUUAGGAAUUAUGUCCCGUGUAAAAGCGGGACGAAGAUUCGUGGAAGAUUACCACGUUGAUAGGCUCAAGGUGUAAGCGCAGUAAUGCGUUCAGCCGAAGAGUACUAAUAGAUCUACGUAUUACCCUC
rnacentral:rRNA from 1 species